AAGACAAGCUUUUAUCUAAAGAUUCUGGUGAAGACCUGGCAGCCUUGGAUCUUAGAGAUGACAGGACACAAAGAGGGAAGUCCACCGAGGUCCUUCAAAGGACUCAGGCUUUCAAAGGUGGCAGACACAUGAGGAAUCAGGAUGGGCUGGGGCCCCUGAGGUCUGCCACUGACUUCACAGCUCUGAGUCUUCUCCACUGUCCUAUUUGCUGGCUGGUAGGAGAGAUAAGUCAAGGCCGUAUUUCAAGGAUGGUGGCAUGACUGCUUCAAGGACAGCAUGGAAUAUGGCGAGACAGUACGUUUGGUAUAUUUGCAGCUGCCUAGAGACGAUCUGAACAUUCCUAAUGAGCUUGAGGGGACAAUGACCAACCAAAUGAUGAGCAGGGAGCACCUCCACCAAGAACAGGAAAGCCUCAAGAGAAACAAAGUGCAAUAACAGCUUCCUCUGAACAUGGUGGUCUCCCAGCCUCCCUCAAUUGCUGUCCCUCUUCAAACAGAACACACUCAAACCCUUCAUGUCUCCAUCCCGUGGCACUGGGCUUG
rnacentral:lncRNA from 1 species